rnacentral:rRNA from 1 species
UACGAGGGGUGCAAGCGUUGCUCGGAAUUAUUGGGCGUAAAGGGCAGGUAGGUGGUCUCAUUUGUCUGAUGUGAAAUCCUUGGGCUUAACCUAAGAAGUGCGUCAGAAACGGUGAGACUUGAGUGCUGGAGAGGUGAGUGGAAUUCCCGGUGUAGCGGUGAAAUGCGUAGAGAUCGGGAGGAACACCAGAGGCGAAGGCGGCUCACUGGACAGUGACUGACACUCAACUGCGAAAGCGUGGGGAGCAAACAGG